rfam:Triticum aestivum genome assembly, contig: Triticum_aestivum_CS42_TGACv1_scaffold_249148_3DL
CAGAUACUCCCUCCGUCCCAAAAUUCUUGUCUUAGAUUUGUCUACAUACGGAUGUAUCUGUUCACAUUUUAGUGUUAGAUACAUCCGUAUCUAGAUAAAUCUAAGACAAGAAUUUUGGGACGGAGGGAGUACUAA